GUGGUUUAGGCUGUGGAAGGGUUCUUGGCCGGUCUCCUCUACCCUCUGGCCUGCGGCGGAUGAAUCUAUCGAGUCGACCUCGCCGAAUGAGCUCCUCGAUUUCAUCCUGGAGCUGUAUGCAUUCCUCUGUGUCGUGGCCGUGGUCGCGGUGGUAGAGGCAAAAUUUAUUGGGGUUGCGCUUCCCAGGGUGUGUGCGCAU
rnacentral:lncRNA from 1 species